AUUGAACGCUGGCGGCAUGCCUUACACAUGCAAGUCGAACGGCAGCACGGGAGCAAUCCUGGUGGCGAGUGGCGAACGGGUGGGUAAAGUAUCGGAGCGUGCCCAGUCGUGGGGGAUAACGUAGCGAAAGUUACGCUAAUACCGCAUACGAUCUAUGGAUGAAAGCGGGGGAUCGCAAGACAUCGCGCGAUUGGAGCGGCCGAUAUCGGAUUAGGUAGUUGGUGGGGUAAAGGCUCACCAAGCCGACGAUCUGUAGCUGGUCUGAGAGGACGACCAGCCACACUGGGACUGAAACACGGCCCAGACUCCUAGGGGAGGCAGCGGUGGGGAAUUUUGGACAGUGGGCGAAAGCCUGAUCCAGCCAUGGGGCGUGCAGGAUGAAGGCCUUCGGGUUGUAAGCUGCUUUAGUACGGAACGAAAAGGUUGGGGCUAAUAAGCUGAGCUCAUGACGGUACCGUAAGAAUAAGCACCGGCUAACUACGUGCCAGCCGCCGCGGUAA
rnacentral:rRNA from 1 species